AAGGGCGCGUAGGCGGAUAUCAAGUCUCUUGUGAAAUCUAAUGGCUUAACCAUUAAACUGCUUGGGAAACUGAUAGUCUAGAGUGAGGGAGAGGCAGAUGGAAUUGGUGGUGUAGGGGUAAAAUCCGUAGAUAUCACCAAGAAUACCCAUUGCGAAGGCGAUCUGCUGGAACUCAACUGACGCUAAGGCGCGAAAGCGUGGGGAGCAAACAGGAUUAGAUACCCUGGUAGUCCACGCCCUAAACGAUGUACACUAGUUGUUGGGAUGCUAGUCAUCUCAGUAAUGCAGCUAACGCAUUAAGUGUACCGCCUGGGGAGUACGGUCGCAAGAUUAAAACUCAAAGGAAUAGACGGGGACCCGCACAAGCGGUGGAGCAUGUGGUUUAAUUCGAAGAUACGCGAAGAACCUUACCUGGGCUUGAUAUCCUAAGAACCUUUUAGAGAUAAGAGGGUGCUAGCUUGCUAGAACUUAGAGACAGGUGCUGCACGGCUGUCGUCAGCUCGUGUCGUGAGAUGUUGGGUUAAGUCCCGCAACGAGCGCAACCCACGUAUUUAGUUGCUAACGGUUCGGCCGAGCACUCUAAAUAGACUGCCUUCGUAAGGAGGAGGAAGGUGUGGACGACGUCAAGUCAUCAUGGCCCUUAUGCCCAGGGCGACACACGUGCUACAAUGGCAUAUACAAUGAGACGCAAUACCGCGAGGUGGAGCAAAUCUAUAAAAUAUGUCCCAGUUCGGAUUGUUCUCUGCAACUCGAGAGCAUGAAGCCGGAAUCGCUAGUAAUCGUAGAUCAGCCAUGCUACGGUGAAUACGUUCCCGGGUCUUGUA
rnacentral:rRNA from 1 species